rnacentral:lncRNA from 1 species
GAAGUGGAAGGGAGUUGAUUAGUGAGAGUAAAAAAAGAGAUGAGAGUGAAAAAAGAGAGGAUGAGAAAAAAGAUGAGGAGAAAAAAAAUAGAGGAUAGCAUUGAUGGUGAAGUUGGGGAGUGGAGUGAGGAAGAAGUUGAAAAGAAUGAAAAAAAUGAUGAAGUAGAAAAUAAAGAAAGUGUGGAAGUUAAAAAAAAUAAGAGUGCGGAAGUGA